rnacentral:tRNA from 2 species
UGCACCGGUAGAAUAUAUUUUUAGUUCAUGGCUUUGAAGCGGCUAAGGAGGUUAAGUGGGCCUUGGUGUAG